rnacentral:rRNA from 1 species
UACGAAGGGGGCUAGCGUUGUUCGGAUUUACUGGGCGUAAAGCGCACGUAGGCGGGUCGUUAAGUCAGGGGUGAAAUCCCGGAGCUCAACUUCGGAACUGCCUUUGAUACUGGCAAUCUAGAGUCCGGAAGAGGUUAGUGGAAUUCCCAGUGUAGAGGUGAAAUUCGUAGAUAUUGGGAAGAACACCAGUGGCGAAGGCGGCUAACUGGUCCGGUACUGACGCUGAGGUGCGAAAGCGUGGGGAGCAAACAGG